AAAAUAGAGUAACGCCGUGACUCGAUCUCGGUCCUCUAAAAUAGCAAACAGAAAGCUUAUCCACUGGACCGCAGUUCGGCCAUAAAUUUGACGUUUUUACGAUAUUUGAACGUAUAAUCAUGUUCGAAGCUUCAAAUGCUUCAAUGAAGCUUCGUGACGUCACUCUCAACCUUCAUAUAUAAAGUCUCGACGAACUCGUUUUCGGCCCAUUCUUCACUCACUAGCUGCAGCUGACAGGGAGAUCAUGGAAUGACUGCAGAUUCAACUACAGUACAAAACCCUCUGUUAUUGGUGUGGUGCAGUAUGUGGUCAGUGUGGUGCAGUAUGAGGACACAAGUGAAGUGUGGAGCAGUAUGUGGGGACAACAGACCACGAGUGAAGCUUCUCACAAUACACAACGGUGUUCCUUCAGGUAACAGCUGAUGUACGUGAAGGCCAAUGGAGAAGUGACAGAACCUCGAGCAAGAUUUAACUACCAGCAUGUUACUUCAGCCUCAUCAGUUAAGUUACUUGUACAGUAUAUCUUAGCUAGUAUCUUUAUCCAAUAAACCACUCGACACUG